rnacentral:rRNA from 1 species
CCCUUAGAUGUCCUGGGCCGCACGCGCGCUACACUGACAUGUUCAACAAGCCUCCUAGUUCGACAGGAUUUGGGAAAUCUUUGAACGCAUGUCGUGAUAGGGAUAGAUCAUUGCAAUUAUUGAUCUUGAACGAGGAAUUCCUAGUAAACGCGAGUCAUCAGCUCGCAUUGAUUACGUCCCUGCCCUUUGUACACACCGCCCGUCGCACCUACCGAUUGAAUGUUUCGGUGAAGAUUCCGGAUAGGACUUUUUUGAUUUAUUUCAAUUUUGUCUUAAAAGCUAUCUAAACCUCAACAUUUAGAGGAAGGUGAAGUCGGAACA